rnacentral:tRNA from 1 species
GAAAUAUAUUUAAAUAAAGCUGCUAACUUUAUUUUUAGUGGUUAAAUUCCAUUAAUAUUUCU